rnacentral:rRNA from 1 species
UACAGAGGGUGCGAGCGUUGUCCGGAAUCAUUGGGCGUAAAGGGCGCGUAGGUGGCGGGACAAGCGUGCGGUGAAAGCUCGGGGCUCAACCCCGAGUCGGCCGUGCGAACUGUUUUGCUUGAGCACUGUAGAGGCAGGCGGAAUUCCGGGUGUAGCGGUGGAAUGCGUAGAGAUCCGGAAGAACACCGGUGGCGAAGGCGGCCUGCUGGGCAGUAGCUGACACUGAGGCGCGACAGCGUGGGGAGCGAUCCGG